rnacentral:rRNA from 1 species
AGUGAACGCUGGCGGCGUGCUUAACACAUGCAAGUCGAACGAGAACGGAAUAUAGCUUGCUAUAUUUGUCAGCUAAGUGGCGCACGGGUGAGUAAUGUAUAGAUAACCUGCCCUCUAGAAAGGAAUAACAGUUGGAAACGACUGCUAAUGCCCUAUAUGCCUUUAAUACAUAAGUAUGCAAGGGAAACGCUUUAGUGCUAGAGGAUGGGUCUGUAUGGUAUCAGUUAGUUGGUGAGGUAAUGGCUCACCAAGACUAUGACGCCUAACUGGUUUGAGAGGAUGAUCAGUCACGCUGGAACUGGGACACGGUCCAGACUCCUACGGGAGGCAGCAGUGGGGAAUAUUGCACAAUGGACGAAAGUCGGAUGCAGCAACGCCGCGUGGAGGAUGACACAUUUCGGUGCGUAAACUCCUUUUAUAUAGGAAGAUAAUGACGGUACUAUAUGAAUAAGCACCGGCUAACUCCGUGCCAGCCGCCGCAGUAA